rnacentral:rRNA from 1 species
GACAUAGGUCGCGAACGUUAUCCGGAAUUAUUGGGCGUAAAGGAUGCGUAGGUGGUUCGGUAAGUUACUGGUGGGAAAUCGAGGCUCAACCUCGUAGAAGUCAGUAAUACUAUCGAGCUUGAGUGCAGGAGAGGUUAAUGGAAUUUUAUGUGGAGCGGUAAAAUGCGUAGAUAUAUAAAAGAGCAUCAAUUGGCGAAGGCAGUUAACUAUUCUGCUACUGACAUUGAGGCAUGAA